UACAGAGGUCUCAAGCGUUUGUUCGGAUUCAUUGGGCGUAAAGGGUGCGUAGGUGGCGCGCUAAGUCAGGUGUGAAAUUUCGGAGCUUAACUCCGAAACUGCAUUUGAUACUGGUGUGCUUGAGGACUGGAGAGGAGACUGGAAUUCAUGGUGUAGCAGUGAAAUGCGUAGAGAUCAUGAGGAAGACCAGUGGCGAAGGCGGGUCUCUGGACAGUUCCUGACACUGAGGCACGAAGGCCAGGGGCGCAAACGGG
rnacentral:rRNA from 1 species